rnacentral:tRNA from 1 species
GCAGGCGUAGUGUAAUGGCUAACACAGAAGCGUCGUAUCCUUCUUAUACGGGUUCAAUUCCUGUCGCCUGCU